CAGUUUGAUCCGAAGUUCAAUGCGAGUAGUUCACGGUUGUCUCAAAACUUUUUGGCGAAUUUUUUUAUGUGUUCUAAUAAAACGGUCAAUUAUCUUGGACUUAUCAAAUUUACUCAACUUAUAAAAGAUGUUGAAGCUGCUGCUGUUGCUGCCUGUGCUGGCCCAAGCACUGGACUCCAGCUUUGCAACCAGCUCGUUGCUGGAGGGUCUCACACAGCUGAUGCUUAGUCCAUCCAGCAAUCAAACGACGCGAUGCGGACAAGAGCUGCUGGCGCUGCAUGCAGCCUGGCAGCGACACGAAGCCUGGGCGCUCAAGGCCUUCGAUGCAUCGGGCAGCGGGUAUGCCAACAUACUGAUGGGCGACGCACACUUUUUGGGCAGCCGCACCACCUGCCAAGCGGUCAAUCAGCUUGUGCUCAGGUAUUACACAUCGAAGCAGCAGCAUCUGCUGGACAGUCUGGCGCCCUUUGGCUUCGACUAUCGCGUGGUUUAUGUCAAUGCCACAACGCGUUUCAAGCUGCGUUUCCUACAUAGACCCGCGACGCUGAUGCACAUUGGACUCUGUGUGCCGCAGAGCUGUGAACGCGACGAGCUGGAACAGCUGUUGCGCCAGACACUCGCGGUGCAACCAUUGGAGCAUCAGUACAUGGAGCUGCAGCCUCAGUUGGUGUACACAAAGAAACCACAAUUUGUGGGUCGCUUUCUUGAGAGUCGCGCCUUUCGAUUGCUCAUCACUCUUCUCUCGAUUGUGCUGCUGCUGACGCUGCUCAGCAAUGUGCUGCCCAAGGGCUGGAGUCGUGUGCUCGACUGCUUUCAUGUGCCCAGCAAUUGGCAGCGUUUGUCCGACAGCAGCAAAGAGAUUGCCGUCAUCAAUGGGCUGCGUGUGGUGGGCGCCAUCUCGAUGUUGAUACUCCAUGUGCCGUGGUACUCGUUAUCGGUUAAUCACACGGCGGGCACACUCAAGGCCAUUACGAGCCUUUGGCUGCAUCAUUCCUAUGUGCCGGCCAUGGUCGAGAUGUUCUUCACUAUCAGUGGCUUCCUCACUGUGUCCAGCUUUCUCAGCAAUCGCGCCCAGCUGCAGCGCUUGGCCGAGCAGCCGCUGUCCAGCAAUCUGGUCGCCUACCUCAAGUCCUUGCUGCAGCGCUACUUGCGUCUGGUGCCCAUGCAGAUUGUGCUCAUGCUUCUGGUGACCGUUGCCAUUAGCUAUUAUCGUGAGGUGUCUCUGCUGCACGUCCAUGUGCCACUGGAUGACUACUGUGCCCAGGACUGGUGGCAGAAUGUGUUGCUCAUCCAGAAUCUGUUCAGCACCCAUUAUAUGUGCGCCAAUUGGACUUGGUCGCUGGCCUGCGAGAUGCAGUUCCAUAUGCUCGCCAUGCUCCUGCUCCAUUUGUAUGUGCAUCGUCCGAAGCUGGUGCGUCGUCUCGUUGUCGGCAUACUGGUGGCCAAUCUGGUGUAUUCGCUUGCCUUGGUCGUCACGAUGGACAUUCAAAUGCGCUUCGAAAUUCUCUCUCCGCAGAUGAACGAUCAUUUCUACUUUAAUUCGUUUGUGCGUUUGCAGACAUAUGCCGUCGGCGCCGUCUAUGCCCAUGCCCACGUCAAUGGGAUGCGUGAUGGAAAGACACCGCUUGACUUGGUCUUUCCGGGGCGUCUAGUGAAAUCCUUGGCUGCCACAGCCGUGUUGUGGGUGAUUUGGCAAUUGCAACUGCAGGCGAACGAUCAGAAUAAGCAGCUCAUUGCUGCCGGCCUCAUAAUGAUACGUCUCAUCAUUUCGCUGAUUACGUUACAUUUGAUUUUGGCCAACUUUAGCACUGAACGUUGUUCUUUCGUCAUUCGGUGGGGAACGCAAUUGCUGCAAGCAAAUUGUUUUCAGUUCUUAGGCAAAUUGACGUUUACGUUUUACCUGAUUCAUCCGUUGCUUAUUAUGUGUUUUAAUUAUGGUUUUAGCUAUUUACUGCCUUCCGAUUUUAGUCUUUGGUCCAUCCUUUCGAUUGCGUACACAGUUAUUGGCUUUGCAAUGUCCACCGUGUUGACGCUGUUCCUUGAAAUGCCGUUCAAUAGACUUACCAAUUUGUUGAUGUCUUCACUUGCCACACAACAAGCUCCAGAGUCCAAGAAUAAAGAUAAAUAAAUACUCGAUUAAUAUAGACGUUAAGUUUACGUUAUAUUUUUGCGCUCGGCUGCGCUCAGUUUUGCGUUGCUCUUUUUUAAGCAAGUUCGCCAAUCACGAUACCGACGACGACGGCGACGAAGGAGGUGGCACUUCUGGCGGAUCGACGGAGAGAGUCAACUGCCAGUGGGCGGACAAAAUGCAACUGUGCCGCUCACCCACACUUUGCCGCGCAGCGCCGAACGAGAACGGGAGCGCGAUCGGGAGCGCGAUAGAACGCGAA